rnacentral:rRNA from 2 species
UGGGGAAUAUUGGACAAUGGGCGAAAGCCUGAUCCAGCCAUGCCGCGUGAGUGAUGAAGGCCCUAGGGUUGUAAAGCUCUUUCACCGGUGAAGAUAAUGACGGUAACCGGAGAAGAAGCCCCGGCUAACUUCGUGCCAGCAGCCGCGGUAAUACGAAGGGGGCUAGCGUUGUUCGGAAUUACUGGGCGUAAAGCGCACGUAGGCGGACUAUUAAGUCAGGGGUGAAAUCCCGGGGCUCAACCCCGGAACUGCCUUUGAUACUGGUAGUCUCGAGUCCGGAAGAGGUGAGUGGAAUUCCGAGUGUAGAGGUGAAAUUCGUAGAUAUUCGGAGGAACACCAGUGGCGAAGGCGGCUCACUGGUCCGGUACUGACGCUGAGGUGCGAAAGCGUGGGGAGCAAACA